GACGAACGCUGGCGGCGUGCCUAAUACAUGCAAGUAGAACGCUGAAGGAGGAGCUUGCUUCUCUGGAUGAGUUGCGAACGGGUGAGUAACGCGUAGGUAACCUGCCCGGUAGCGGGGGAUAACUAUUGGAAACGAUAGCUAAUACCGCAUAAUAGCAGUUGUUGCAUGACAACUGUUUGAAAGGUGCAAUUGCACCACUACCAGAUGGACCUGCGUUGUAUUAGCCAGUUGGUGGGGUAACGGCUCACCAAGGCGACGAUACAUAGCCGACCUGAGAGGGUGAUCGGCCACACUGGGACUGAGACACGGCCCAGACUCCUACGGGAGGCAGCAGUAGGGAAUCUUCGGCAAUGGACGGAAGUCUGACCGAGCAACGCCGCGUGAGUGAAGAAGGUUUUCGGAUCGUAAAGCUCUGUUGUAAGAGAAGAACGAGUGUGAGAGUGGAAAGUUCACACUGUGACGGUAUCUUACCAGAAAGGGACGGCUAACUACGUG
rnacentral:rRNA from 1 species